GGGUAAAUGAUGACAGCCUAAUGUCAUGAAAAGAGUUAAUGACAUAAAAAUAAUGCUCAGUAGGAUUACUUUGAGACUG